rnacentral:rRNA from 1 species
UUCCGGUUGAUCCUGCCGGAGGCGACCGCUUUUGGAGUUCGAUUAAGCCAUGCGAGUAGAAAGAAAUUAGAUUCUUUGCGAACUGCUCAGUAACACGUGGAUAACCUGCCCUAUGCUCCGGAAUAACCUCGGGAAACUGAGAAUAAUACCGGAUAGAUCACAACGCCUGGAACGGUGUGUGGUUGAAAGAUUACGGCAUAGGAUGGGUCUGCGGCGUAUCAGGUUGUAGGGGGUGUAAAGGACCUCCUAGCCAUCGACGCGUACGGGUGUUGGGAGACAUAGCCCGGAGAUGGAUUCUGAGACACGAAUCCAGACCCUACGGGGUGCAGCAGGCGCGAAAACUUCACACUGCAGGAAACUGUGAUGAGGGAACUCCAAGUGCACGCACUUAGUGUGUGCUUUUUUCAACUAUUAAUCGGUUGAAGAAUAAGGGCUGGGAAAGACCGGUGCCAGCCGCCGCGGUAAUACCGGCAGCUCAAGUGGUCGUCGCUUUUAUUGGGCCUAAAACGUCCGUAGCCUGUUUGGUAAAUCUGUGGGUAAAUCAACCAGCUUAACUGGUUGAAUUCUGCAGAGACUGCCAGACUAGGGACCGGGAGAGGUGUGGGGUACUCUAGGGGUAGGGGUAAAAUCCUGUCAUCCUUAGAGGACCACCAGUUGCGAGGGCGCCACACUGGAACGGAUCCGACGGUCAGGGACGAAGCCUAGGGGCACGAACCGGAUUAGAUACCCGGGUAGUCCUAGGUGUAAACGCUGUGAACUUGGUGUCGGGGAUCCGUCAUGGGUCCCCGGUGCCGGAGUGAAGAUGUUAAGUUCACUGCCUGGGGAGUACGGUCGCAAGGCUGAAACUUAAAGGAAUUGGCGGGGGAGCACUGCAACGGGAGGAGCGUGCGGUUUAAUUGGAUUCAACGCCGGA